rnacentral:rRNA from 1 species
AACCUCCGCAAUGUGAGAAAUCGCGACGGGGGGAUCCCAAGCGCCAUUCUUAACGGGAUGGCUUUUCAUUAGUGUAAAGAGCUUUUGGAAUAAGGGCUGGGCAAGACCGGUGCCAGCCGCCGCGGUAACACCGGCAGCUCUAGUGGUAGCAGUUUUUGUUGGGCCUAAAGCGUCCGUAGCCGGUUUAAUAAGUCUCUGGUGAAAUCCUGUAGCUUAACUGUGGGAAUUGCUGGAGAUACUAUUAGACUUGAGACCGGGAGAGGUUAGAGGUACUCCCAGGGUAGAGGUGAAAUUCUGUAAUCCUGGAAGGACCGCCUGUUGCGAAGGCGUCUAGCUGGAACGGUUCUGACGGUGAGGGACGAAAGUUAGGGGCGCGAACCGGAUUAGAUACCCGGGUAGUCCUAACUGUAAACGAUGCGGACUUGGUGUUGGGGUGGCUUUGAGCUGCUCCAGUGCCGAAGGGGAGCUGUUAAGUCCGCCGCCUGGGAAGUACGGUCGCAAGACUGAAACUUAAAGGAAUU